UUGUCGCGAAUGGUUACACACGACGACACAUCUCGCGUGACUCUUCGAUAGUAAUACACAGUGGCUCAAAAAGUAUUUCAACACCUGCAAUAGAAUAUUCUCAUGCAUAUACAUAUCAUGUACAUAACCUCGUGAAAAUAUUCCGACACCUGUAGGCACCCUUUAUAAAUUUACAUAUUACGUGUACGUUAGACGAAACAUUGUGAAAUUUCAUUAGCACUGUUAUGAGACUUGUUGGAAAAAUAUCAUUUUAGUAUAUUCCUAGAGAAUUUUGUUAUUAGAGGUUGCCAUGAAGAAGAUGACAUUAUGUGUUAUAAGUUACGAGCAUGAGCGGGUACGAAAUGUGAACAGAUUAGUCGACUAGAGAGCUGUGUGAAGAGAGCGAUGCAACGGCGAGAGUAGAGAAAAAAAAAUAAAGAAAACUGUGUAGUUUACUUCAUAUAUAUAUAUAUCCCAAAAACAUUGUAUAUUUUAUUCGAUUUCAUUUAAUUUCUAUAUGAAACGAGAAAUAUACUACAGUUCAUGGUUAACUGUAUCGUCUAUAUCGGCAUCGACAAAAGUUAAAACUUCUUAUAUCACGCUAUACGAACUUCCCUAAUAUUUUACUUUUAUCACUAUUUAACUGUGUAUGCACUUUCAACCCUAGAAUUUGAUUCUGAAGCAUAUUUCGUUUAUUUAAAAAUUAUAUUUUAAGUAAUGAAGUUAUUAAAAUAAUAUAAAAGUAA